rnacentral:rRNA from 1 species
UGUACCCGCUGAACUUAAGCAUAUCAAUAAGCGGAGGAAAAGAAACCAACAGGGAUUGCCCUAGUAACGGCGAGUGAAGCGGCAACAGCUCAAAUUUGAAAUCUGGCUCUUUCAGGGUCCGAGUUGUAAUUUGUAGAGGGUGCUUUGGAGUUGACUGUGGUCUAAGUUCCUUGGAACAGGACGUCGCAGAGGGUGAGAAUCCCGUAUGUGGCCGCCAGUCUUCUCCGUGUAAAGCCCCUUCGACGAGUCGAGUUGUUUGGGAAUGCAGCUCUAAAUGGGAGGUAAAUUUCUUCUAAAGCUAAAUAUUGGCCAGAGACCGAUAGCGCACAAGUAGAGUGAUCGAAAGAUGAAAAGCACUUUGGAAAGAGAGUCAAAAAGCACGUGAAAUUGUUGAAAGGGAAGCGCUUGCAGCCAGACUUGCCUGUAGUUGCUCAUCCGGGCUUUUGCCCGGUGCACUCUUCUAUAGGCAGGCCAGCAUCAGUCGCGGCGGUUGGAUAAAUGUCUGCACAAUGUACCUCUCCUCGGGGAGGACUUAUAGGGCAGGCGGCAUACAACCAGCUGCGAUUGAGGUCCGCGCAUCUGCUAGGAUGCUGGCGUAAUGGCUGUAAGCGGCCCGUCUUGAAACACGGACCAAGGAGUCUAACAUCUAUGCGAGUGUUUGGGUGUCAAGCCCGAGCGCGUAAUGAAAGUGAACGGAGGUGGGAACCCCUCGGGGUGCACCAUCGACCGAUCCUGAUGUCUUCGGAUGGAUUUGAGUAAGAGCAUAGCUGUUGGGACCCGAAAGAUGGUGAACUAUGCCUGAAUAGGGUGAAGCCAGAGGAAACUCUGGUGGAGGCUCGCAGCGGUUCUGACGUGCAAAUCGAUCGUCAAAUUUGGGCAUAGGGGCGAAAGACUAAUCGAACUAUCUAGUAGCUGGUUCCUGCCGAAGUUUCCCUCAGGAUAGCAGUAACGUUUUCAGUUUUAUGAGGUAAAGCGAAUGAUUAGAGGCCUGGGGGUUGAAACAACCUUCACCUAUUCUCAAACUUUAAAUAUGUAAGAAGUCCUUGUUACUUAAUUGAACGUGGACAUUUGAAUGUACCGUUACUAGUGGGCCAUUUUUGGUAAGCAGAACUGGCGA